UUAUUACUCCCUCCGCUCCGAAUUACUUGUCGCAGAUAUGGAUGUAUCUAGAUGUAUUUUAGUUCUAGAUACAUCCAUUUCUGCGACGAGUAAUUUGGAACGGAGGGAGUAGUUU
rfam:Triticum aestivum genome assembly, contig: Triticum_aestivum_CS42_TGACv1_scaffold_393639_5AS